CCAGUUUAAAAAAAUACAAAAUGCCCUAUACACCGUCUGGGUUUUUCUGCGACCGGUUGAUCCGAGAGAGAGAGCGAAGAGACGGGGAAGGGUCUCUCAGCAAGCCCCUGCACUUCAGCGGACAGGACUACGCCCCACUGAAACAGGAGUGCCUCACCAAGAAGUGCCUGUUUGAGGAUGACACCUUCCCGGCCACAGUGGAGUCCCUGGGGUACAAGGAGUUGGGGCACAAGUCCAACAAGGUCAAGAACAUUGUCUGGAAGCGACCCAAGGAGAUCUGUGAGAAUCCUCAGUUUAUAGUGGGCGGAGCCAGCAGGACAGACAUUUGCCAGGGAGACCUUGGUGACUGCUGGCUUCUGGCGGCCAUAGCCUGUCUCACUCUGAAUGAGAAGCUUCUGUACCGGGUGGUUCCUCAGGAACAGAGUUACUCUGAAGGAUACUGUGGAAUCUUCCACUUCCAGUUCUGGCGCUAUGGUGACUGGGUUGAUGUUGUCAUUGAUGACCGCAUACCCACCUUAAACAACCAGCUGGUGUUCACCAAGUCUGCUGAGAGGAACGAGUUCUGGAGUGCCCUGCUGGAGAAGGCCUACGCCAAGCUGCACGGUUCCUAUGAGGCCCUGAAGGGAGGCAACACCACCGAGGCCAUGGAGGACUUCACCGGCGGAGUGACAGAGUUCUAUGAGAUGAAGGAGGCACCCAAGGAGCUGUACAAGAUCAUGACCAAGGCCCUGGAGAGAGGCUCUAUGAUGGGCUGCUCUAUCGACUCCCUGGUUCCUGCCCGUUUUGAGACGCGCACCACAACAGGCCUAGUGAAAGGCCACGCUUACUCUGUAACUGGUGUUGAGGAGUGUAAACAGUCCCAACACAAGGAGUCAAAGGUGCGCCUGGUGCGUCUCAGGAACCCCUGGGGACAGGUGGAGUGGAACGGACCCUGGAGCGACAACUCUAAGGAAUGGGCUUCCCUGCCCAAGGGGGAGAAGGACAAACUGCAGCAUCAGAGUGCUGAGGAUGGGGAGUUCUGGAUGUCCUUUGAGGACUUCAAGAAGAACUACACCAAGAUAGAGAUCUGCAACCUCACACCUGAUGCUCUGGAAGAUGAUAAGAUCCAUAAGUGGACAGUGUCAGUGAACGAGGGUCGUUGGGUCAGAGGCUGCUCUGCUGGGGGCUGUCGGAACCACCCUGAUACAUUCUGGACCAACCCUCAGUACCGGCUGCGUCUCCUGGAGGAGGACGAUGACCCAGAGGACAACGAGGUGGCGUGCUCUUUCGUGGUCUCUCUGAUGCAGAAGAACCGAAGGAAGGACAGGAAGCUGGGAGCCAACCUCUUCACCAUUGGAUUUGCCAUCUACGAGGUACCGAAGGAGAUGCACGGCAACAAGCAACACUUGCAGAAGGACUUCUUCCUGGUCAACUCGUCCAAGGCCCGCUCCAAGGCGUACAUCAACCUGAGGGAGGUGACCCAGCGCUUCCGCCUGACCCCCGGGGAGUACGUGAUCAUCCCCUCCACCUACGAGCCUCACCAGGAGGGAGAGUUCCUGCUCAGGGUCUUCUCCGAAAAGAGGAACACCUCAGAGGAGAUUGAGAACAGGAUCGAGGCCGAUCAUCCAGAGCCGGCCCCUUCCAAUGCAGGGGAGGAGAGUGAGGAGGACCAGCAGUUCCGGAGCCUCUUUCAGCAGAUAGCCGGGGAUGUGAGUACGGGGAGUGCAGGGAGGCCAGGGAGCGCUUGGGGGAGUGAAAUGGAAAUAACCGCAAGUGAGCUUAAGAAUGUCCUCAACAGAGUCAUCUCCAAACACAAGGAACUGAAUACAGAAGGGUUCAGCCUGGAGAGCUGCAGGAGCAUGAUCGCUCUCAUGGACGUAUCCUUAAUGGAUGGAACCGGCAGACUCAACCUGCAGGAGUUCAGACAUCUCUGGAACAAGAUCAAGCAGUGGCAGGGAAUCUUCCAGCAUUAUAAUUCCGACCAGGCUGGCAGCAUAAACAGCUACGAAAUGAGAAAUGCUGUUAACGAUGCAGGCUUCCGUCUUAACAACCAGCUCUAUGACAUCAUCACAAUGCGCUACGCCAAUGAGGGUAUGAACAUCGACUUUGACAGUUUUAUCAGCUGCCUGGUCCGGCUUGAAGCCAUGUUCAGGGCAUUCCAGGCCUUUGAUCAAGAUGGAGAAGGUACAAUCAGACUCAGUGUCUUAGAGUGGCUCCAGCUGACCAUGUAUGCCUAGCGUGCCAGGAAGGUGUUCUGAUCGGGCCAGUCACCUCCCAGGUGAGAUCCAGCCCACCUGAAGAACAGAGCAGAACUGCUACCAGCGUUUACCUCAGUAGGGACUGUGCCAGACCGUAGCCACGACCAGUAUCUCCUCCUCCUGCUCACCCCACCUUAGCCCCCUAGGCGGUGGUAUCGUACACCAUGACUAGCCAGUGGCAGGCUUCUCUAAUUUCUUCUCCUGACCAUGUCUAUUUCCCAGUAUCGCUGAAACAUCACAGUCUCUUCUAAGUCGGCCGUGUUUUUUUUAACACAACCCAUUGCUUACCAUGUGCACCGUUGUUUUUCUCAGGCAUCCAACACACACAACCUCUCUUUUUCUGUUGCGAUACCUCACAGAGCCACUUCUCUAUAACCCAUCAGAUAUAUUUUUUAAAUAGUCAGUGUUAUAUUUUUCCGGGGGGGGGGGGGGGGAUUUGCCUGGCGUUCAAAGCCUUCACCUGCUCCUCUAUACCACCUACUAUAAUAGACACCCCCCAUUCAUUACACAUGCCAUCCCUAACAUUUCUUGAUCUCAACCCGCCCCAACAAUCGUGCUUCCCGCCCUUUCUGGGGCAUCGCUUCACUGAAGACUGCAGCUCUCCCACGGACAGCGGAUAAACCUAGUCACAAAAGGACCCGCGCGUUCCUUCCUUCAUUCAGUCUCAGGAUUCUCGACCCAGGGAAAGACGCCACCUGAAAAACUGGCGUCACAGAGACGUGUCUGUCGAUGCUUACAGUCCUACACACAGAAAAGACCGUUCUGGCCGAGAGCACUCCUCUGUUUCCUUCCCCUCUGUACGACCCGGACGAUGCAGAGGUGGAAAGCCUCCAUCCAGCUGAAGUGUUACAACUCUGGGCUCUGGCUGGUUCAACACAUGGAGCUGUGAACAUGGCUAUGGGUUGGACUUCAGUUUUUUUUUUUUUUUUUUUUUUUUGUGGAUUCCUAUUCAAGCUUUGGUCAAAUGAGUGUAAUGCAUUUUUAAACAUUUUAACCCAAUAAAUAAUUGUGUAAUUAU